UGGGGAAUAUUGCACAAUGGGCGCAAGCCUGAUGCAGCCAUGCCGCGUGUAUGAAGAAGGCCUUCGGGUUGUAAAGUACUUUCAGCGGGGAGGAAGGCGAUAAGGUUAAUAACCUUGUCGAUUGACGUUACCCGCAGAAGAAGCACCGGCUAACUCCGUGCCAGCAGCCGCGGUAAUACGGAGGGGGCAAGAGUUAAUCGGAAUUACUGGGCGUAAAGCGCACGCAGGCGGUCUGUCAAGUCGGAUGUGAAAUCCCCGGGCUCAACCUGGGAACUGCAUUCGAAACUGGCAGGCUAGAGUCUUGUAGAGGGGGGUAGAAUUCCAGGUGUAGCGGUGAAAUGCGUAGAGAUCUGGAGGAAUACCGGUGGCGAAGGCGGCCCCCUGGACAAAGACUGACGCUCAGGUGCGAAAGCGUGGGGAGCAAACA
rnacentral:rRNA from 1 species